rnacentral:rRNA from 1 species
UGAGGAAUAUUGGUCAAUGGGCGCAGGCCUGAACCAGCCAAGUAGCGUGAAGGAUGACUGCCCUAUGGGUUGUAAACUUCUUUUAUAUGGGAAUAAAGUUUUCCACGUGUGGAAUUUUGUAUGUACCAUAUGAAUAAGGAUCGGCUAACUCCGUGCCAGCAGCCGCGGUAAUACGGAGGAUCCGAGCGUUAUCCGGAUUUAUUGGGUUUAAAGGGAGCGUAGGUGGACAGUUAAGUCAGUUGUGAAAGUUUGCGGCUCAACCGUAAAAUUGCAGUUGAUACUGGCUGUCUUGAGUACAGUAGAGGUGGGCGGAAUUCGUGGUGUAGCGGUGAAAUGCUUAGAUAUCACGAAGAACUCCGAUUGCGAAGGCAGCUCACUGGACUGCAACUGACACUGAUGCUCGAAAGUGUGGGUAUCAAACAGGAUUAGAUACCCUGGUAGUCCACACAGUAAACGAUGAAUACUCGCUGUUUGCGAUAUACAGUAAGCGGCCAAGCGAAAGCAUUAAGUAUUCCACCUGGGGAGUACGCCGGCAACGGUGAAACUCAAAGGAAUUGACGGGGGCCCGCACAAGCGGAGGAACAUGUGGUUUAAUUCGAUGAUACGCGAGGAACCUUACCCGGGCUUAAAUUGCAUUUGAAUAAUCUGGAAACAGGUUAGCCGCAAGGCAAAUGUGAAGGUGCUGCAUGGUUGUCGUCAGCUCGUGCCGUGAGGUGUCGGCUUAAGUGCCAUAACGAGCGCAACCCUUAUCUUUAGUUACUAACAGGUCAUGCUGAGGACUCUAGAGAGACUGCCGUCGUAAGAUGUGAGGAAGGUGGGGAUGACGUCAAAUCAGCACGGCCCUUACGUCCGGGGCUACACACGUGUUACAAUGGGGGGUACAGAAGGCAGCUACCUGGUGACAGGAUGCUAAUCCCAAAAGCCUCUCUCAGUUCGGAUCGAAGUCUGCAACCCGACUUCGUGAAGCUGGAUUCGCUAGUAAUCGCGCAUCAGCCAUGGCGCGGUGAAUACGUUCCC